GCUGGAGUGUGAAGUUCCAGGGCUUAUCCUAAACCUACAGUAGAGUGGCAGGACAGCGAUAACAAAACACUUUUUUCUAAGACGUUGCAAGACAUAGAAGAUAAAAAUCGCUUUUACAUCACCAUCCAAACUAGUGUGACUAAGCCCGGCUGCUACCGCUGUGUAGCAACACAGAUGGCCAUAUGGCAUCAGAUUCCUUCAGAGACCUGUGUCCCUGAUGAACCAUGGAAGAUUGUAGCUGUUGUUGCUAUUGUUCUUGCUGUUGUUCUUCCUGUUGUAGUUGGGAUUCUUGUCUGGUGUUACAUCAAGAAUAAAAAAAAAACAAAAAAGAAGUCCUCUGAACCCUCAGCCCAGGAACUGAAACCCAACGCUGAUCAAAAUGAACCUGUGUGAAGUAACGUGUGUGUGUUGCUUAUGUGUUUGUUUUAUGAGAACCAAAUUAAGUUUUGGAGCACAGCAGCUUGGACAUGUUGGAUUAUUUUUGAUAUUUUCAGCAGUUUAAAAGUUCAGAACAGAUUUUAACUCUGUGGUUUAGCACAUGGUUAAAAGUCAGGAUGGAGGGAUGUAGUUUCUGCUGCAUUUGUGCAAAAGAAAUAUUUGCUGUUCAGUCACCACAGUAAUUUUUCUAAUACUUUGAUCAUAAUCACUUCCCAUAUAUCUGUGUAAAAA